GUGCUUGCUUUGGCAGCACAUUUACUAAAAUUGGAAAGAUACAGAGAAGAUUAGCAUGGCCCCUGAGCAAGGAUGACAUGCAAAUUCGUGAAGUGUUUCAUAUUUUU
rnacentral:snRNA from 1 species